rnacentral:rRNA from 1 species
CCCUUAGAUGUUCUGGGCCGCACACGCGCUACAAUGGUGAAUUCAACAAGUCAACCAAAGCCGAUAGGUGGAGGUAAACUCGUAGUAUUCGCCGUGAUGGGGAUAGACCCUUGUAAUUAUUGGUCUCCAACGAGGAAUUCCUAGUAGACGCAAGUCAUCAACUUGCAUCGAUUACGUCCCUGCCCUUUGUACACACCGCCCGUCGCACCUACCGAUUGAAUGGUCCGGUGAGAAUUCUGGACUGUGGCGUAGCAGCUUUCACGAGAGGCUACGCCGUGGGAAGUUAUUCAAACCUUACCAUUUAGAGGAAGGUGAAGUCGUAACA